GCGCUGUAGCUCAGUUGGUAGAGCAGCGGACUGAAAAUCCGUGUGUCACUGGUUCAACUCCAGUCAGUGCC
rnacentral:tRNA from 1 species